AUUGAACGCUGGCGGCAUGCCUUACACAUGCAAGUCGAACGGUAACGCGGGGCAACCUGGCGACGAGUGGCGAACGGGUGAGUAAUGCAUCGGAACGUGCCCAGUAGUGGGGGAUAGCCCGGCGAAAGCCGGAUUAAUACCGCAUACGACCUACGGGUGAAAGGGGGGGAUCGCAAGACCUCUCGCUAUUGGAGCGGCCGAUGUCAGAUUAGGUAGUUGGUGGGGUAAAGGCCUACCAAGCCGACGAGCUGUAGCUGGUCUGAGAGGACGACAAGCCACACUGGGACGGAGACACGGCCCAGACUCCUACGGGAGGCAGCAGUGGGGAAUUUUGGACAAUGGGCGCAAGCCUGAUCCAGCCAUGCCGCGUGCGGGAAGAAGGCCUUCGGGUUGUAAACCGCUUUUGUCAGGGAAGAAAUCUUCUGGGUUAAUACCUCGGGAGGAUGACGGUACCUGAAGAAUAAGCACCGGCUAACUACGUGCCAGCCGCCGCCGUAAUAC
rnacentral:rRNA from 1 species